rnacentral:rRNA from 1 species
AUGGCUCAUUAAAUCGGUUAUAAUUUAUUUGAUAGUACCUAACACAUGGAUAACUGUGGUAAUUCUAGAGCUAAUACAUGCUAAAAACCCCGACUUCGGAAGGGGUGUAUUUAUUAGAUUAAAAACCAAUGCCCUUCGGGGCUUCCUGGUGAUUCAUGAUAACUUAUCGAAUCGCAUGGCCUUGCGCCGGCGAUGGUUCAUUCAAAUUUCCGCCCUAUCAACUUUCGAUGGUAAGAUAGAGGCUUACCAUGGUAUUGACGGGUAACGGGGAAUUAGGGUUCGAUUCCGGAGAGGGAGCCUGAGAAACGUAAGUUUUCCCCCUUCGGUCACUUUUACCUUUCCCCCUUCAUCUCCCCCCCCCUGACCAGAACGAUCCCGCUAACAUUACAUCAACAGGGCUACCACAUCCAAGGAAGGCAGCAGGCGCGCAAAUUACCCAAUGCCAAUUACCGGCGAGGUAGUGACGAUACAUACUGAUGCAGAGCUCUUUUGGGUUUUGCAAUUGGAAUGAGUACAAUCUAAAUCCCUUAACGAGGAACAAUUGGAGGGCAAGUCUGGUGCCAGCAGCCGCGGUAAUUCCAGCUCCAAUAGCGUAUAUUAAAGUUGUUGCGGUUAAAAAGCUCGUAGUUGAACCUUGGGUUGGGCUGGUCGGUCCGCCUCACCGCGUGUACUGAUCCGGCCUGACCUUUCUUUCUGGGGAAUCUCAUGCCCUUUACUGGGUGUGUUGGGGAACCAGGACUUUUACUUUGAGAAAAUUAGAGUGUUCAAAGCAGGCCUAUGCUCGAAUACGUUAGCAUGGAAUAAUAGAAUAGGACGGCAGUUCUAUUUUGUUGGUUUCUAGGACCGCCGUAAUGAUUAAUAGGGAUAGUCGGGGGCAUCAGUAUUGAAUUGUCAGAGGUGAAAUUCUUGGAUUUAUUCAAGACUAACUACUGCGAAAGCAUUUGCCAAGGAUGUUUUCAUUAAUCAGUGAACGAAAGUUAGGGGAUCGAAGACGAUCAGAUACCGUCGUAGUCUUAACCAUAAACUAUGCCAACUAGCGAUCGGAUGGUGUUUCAUUUUUGACCCAUUCGGCAGCUUGUGAGAAAUCAAAGUUUUCGGGUUCCGGGGGGAGUACGGUCGCAAGAUUGAAACUUAAAGCAAUUGACGGAAGGGCACCACAAGGCGUGGAGCCUGCGGCUUAAUUUGACUCAACACGGGAAAACUCACCAGGUCCAGACAAAAUAAGGAUUGACAGAUUGAGAGCUCUUUCUUGAUUUUUUGGGUGGUGGUGCAUGGCCGUUCUUAGUUGGUGGAGUGAUUUGUCUGCUUAAUUGCGAUAACGAACGAGACCUUAACCUGCUAAAUAGCCAGGCUAGCAUUUGCUGGUCGCGGGCUUCUUAGAGGGACUAUCGGCUUAAGCCGAUGGAAGUUUGAGGCAAUAACAGGUCUGUGAUGCCCUUAGAUGUCCUGGGCCGCACGGUAUGUACACACUUUGCCCCCCUACCCCCCCCCUUUUACACCAUUUUCGUGUUGAAUUUCUGCUAACGAUUUUUCUAGCGCGCUACACUGACAGAGCCAGCGAGUACAUCAACCUUGGCAGAGAUGCCUGGGUAAUCUUGUUAACCUCUGUCGUGCUGGGGAUAGAACAUUGCAAUUAUUGUUCUUCAACGAGGAAUGCCUAGUAAGCGCAAGUCAUCAGCUUGCGUUGACUACGUCCCUGCCCUUUGUACACACCGCCCGUCGCUACUACCGAUUGAAUGGCUCAGUGAGGCCUUCGGACUGGCCCUAGAAGAUCGGCAACGAUCAUCCCGGGCCGGAAAGUU